UAGGGAAUCUUCCACAAUGGACGCAAGUCUGAUGGAGCAACGCCGCGUGAGUGAAGAAGGUUUUCGGACCGUAAAGCUCUGUUGUUGGUGAAGAAGGAUAGAGAUAGUAACUGGCCUUUAUUUGACGGUAAUCAACCAGAAAGUCACGGCUAACUACGUGCCAGCAGCCGCGGUAAUACGUAGGUGGCAAGCGUUGUCCGGAUUUAUUGGGCGUAAAGCGAGCGCAGGCGGAAGAAUAAGUCUGAUGUGAAAGCCCUCGGCUUAACCGAGGAAUUGCAUCGGAAACUGUUUUUCUUGAGUGCGGAAGAGGAGAGUAGAACUCCAUGUGUAGCGGUGGAAUGCGUAGAUAUAUGGAAGAAUACCAGUGGCGAAGGCGGCUCUCUGGUCUGCAACUGACGCUGAGGCUCGAAAGCAUGGGUAGCGAACAGGAUUAGAUACCCUGGUAGUCCAUGCCGUAAACGAUGAGUGCUAAGUGUUGGGAGGCUUCCGCCUCUCAGUGCUGCAGCUAACGCAUUAAGCACUCCGCCUGGGGGAGUACGACCGCAAGGUUGAAAC
rnacentral:rRNA from 1 species